CAGAGGGUGCAAGCGUUGUUCGGAAUUACUGGGCGUAAAGGGCGCGUAGGCGGUUUAGCAAGUCAGAUGUGAAAGCCCGAAGCUUAACUUCGGAAGUGCAUUUGAAACUGCUAGACUUGAGUAAAGCAGGGGUUGGCGGAAUACCCAGUGUAGAGGUGAAAUUCGUAGAUAUUGGGUAGAACACCGGUGGCGAAGGCGGCCAACUGGACUUUAACUGACGCUGAGGCGCGAAGGCGUGGGGAGCAAACAGGAUUAGAUACCCUGGUAGUCCACGCUGUAAACGAUGGAUACUCGCUGUGACUGGUAUUGACCCCGGUCGUAGCCAAGGUAACCCGAUAAGUAUCCCGCCUGGGAAGUACGGUCGCAAGAUUA
rnacentral:rRNA from 1 species